rnacentral:rRNA from 1 species
AUCGAACGCUGGCGGCAGGCCUAACACAUGCAAGUCGAGCGGAGCGGCGGACGGGUGAGUAAUGCCUAGGAAUCUGCCUGUUAGUGGGGGAUAACUUCCGGAAACGGGCGCUACUACCGCAUACUAUAAGUUGAGCCUAGGUCGGUUGAGCUAGUUGGUGGGGUACAGGCCUACCAAGGCGACGAUCCGUAACUGGCCUGAGAGGAUGAUCAGUCACACUGGAACUGAGACACGGUCCAGACUCCUACGGGAGGCAGCAGUGGGGAAUGUUGGACAAUGGGCGAAAGCCUGAUCCAGCCAUGCCGCGUGUGUGAAGAAGGUCGUCGGAUUGUAAAGCCCUGUAAGUUGGGAGGCGUUACCAACAGAAUAAGCACCGGCUAACUUCGUGCCAGCAGCCGCGGUAAUAC